GAUGAACGCUGGCGGCGUGCUUAACACAUGCAAGUCGAACGGAAAGGCUCCUGCUUGCAGGGGUACUCGAGUGGCGAACGGGUGAGUAACACGUGGGUGAUCUGCCCUGCACUUCGGGAUAAGCCUGGGAAACUGGGUCUAAUACCGGAUAGGACCACAUUUUGGAUGGUGUGGUGGAAAGUUUUUCGGUGUGGGAUGAGCUCGCGGCCUAUCAGCUUGUUGGUGGGGUAAUGGCCUACCAAGGCGUCGACGGGUAGCCGGCCUGAGAGGGUGUACAGCCACAUUGGGACUGAGAGACGGCCCAGACUCCUACGGGAGGCAGCAGUGGGGAAUAUUGCACAAUGGGCGCAAGCCUGAUGCAGCGACGCCGCGUGGGGGAUGACGGCCUUCGGGUUGUAAACUCCUUUCGCUAGGGACGAAGCGUUUUUGUGACGGUACCUGGAGAAGAAGCACCGGCUAACUACGUG
rnacentral:rRNA from 1 species